AUUGAACGCUGGCGGCAGGCCUAACACAUGCAAGUCGAACGAGUGGCGGACGGGUGAGUAAUGUAUGGGAAACUGCCUGAUGGAGGGGGAUAACUACUGGAAACGGUAGCUAAUACCGCAUACCAUCAGAUGUGCCCAGAUGGGAUUAGCGUGUUGGUGGGGUAACGGCUCACCAAGGCGACGAUCCCGAGCUGGUCUGAGAGGAUGAACAGCCACACUGGAACGGAGACACGUGCCAGACUCCUACGGGAGGAAGCAGUGGGGAAUAUUGGACAAUGGGCGAAAGCCUGAUGCAGCAAUGCCGCGGGUAUGAAGAAGGCUUUCGGGUUGUAAAGUACUUUCAGCGGGGAGGCGUUACCCGAACAAGAAGCACCGGCUAACUCCGUGCCAGCAGCCGCGGUAAUUC
rnacentral:rRNA from 1 species